AGAGUUUGAUCCUGGCUCAGGACGAACGCUGGCGGCGUGCCUAAUACAUGCAAGUCGAGCGGAUCUGAUGAGGUGCUUGCACCUCUGAUGAUUAGCGGCGGACGGGUGAGUAACACGUAGGCAACCUGCCUGCAGGACCGGGAUAACAUUCGGAAACGAAUGCUAAUACCGGAUAAACGAUUUCCUCGCAUGGGGAGAUC
rnacentral:rRNA from 1 species